UACCAGCACCCCGAGUGGUCGGGACGAUUAUUGGGCCUAAAGCAUCCGUAGCCGGUCAUGCAAGUCUUCCGUUAAAUCCAGCCGCUCAACGGUUGGGCUGCGGAGGAUACUACGUGGCUAGGAGGCGGGAGAGGCAAGCGGUACUCAGUGGGUAGGGGUAAAAUCCUUUGAUCCAUUGAAGACCACCAGUGGCGAAGGCGGCUUGCCAGAACGCGCUUGACGGUGAGGGAUGAAAGCUGGGGGAGCAAACCGG
rnacentral:rRNA from 1 species